rnacentral:rRNA from 1 species
UACGUAGGGACCGAGCGUUGUCCGGAUUCAUUGGGCGUAAAGAGCUCGUAGGCGGCUGUUCAAGUCGAACGUGAAAACUCGGAGCUCAACUCCGAGCCUGCGUUCGAUACUGGACGGCUAGAGUCUGGUAGGGGGAUCUGGAAUUCCUGGUGUAGCGGUGGAAUGCGCAGAUAUCGGGAAGAACACCCGUGGCGAAGGCGGCUCUCUGGAACGCAACUGACGCUGAGACGCGAAAGCGUGGGGAGCAAACAGG